GAGAAAAAAAUUCUCACUCAUCAGCCUAAAGAGAAACCCUGUCUUAUCCCAGAUUACCACCAUGGGAUUUAAAAUUCAGUGAGAAGACUGCUUGGGAAAUACUGUCUCCGAACUGCCGGUACAGACACUGCCCAUUGGUACAAUAUUUUUAGGUCAUCUAUCAAUUGCCACGUUUGCAUUUCUUUCAUGCAAUACAAGUUGAAAUCAUAAUGAAAUUCUUGAGUUUCAGGAAUAUCUCAAAAUAAGCUUCUUCAUCCUCAACAAA